rnacentral:rRNA from 1 species
GCGGCGCGCUACACAUGCAGUCGAGCGGUAACAGGAGUAAUUUAUUACUUGCUGACGAGCGGCGGACGGCUGAGUAACGCGUGGGAACAUGCCCCAAAGUGAGGAAUAACUGCCCGAAAGGGUAGCUAAUGCCGCAUAUGAUCUUCGGAUUAAAGGAUUUAUCCGCUUUGGGAGUGGCCUGCGUACGAUUAGGUAGUUGGUGAGGUAAAGGCUCACCAAGCCUACGAUCGUUAACUGGUCUGAGAGGAUGAUCAGUCAGACUGGAACUGAGACACGGUCCGGACUCCUACGGGAGGCAGCAGUGAGGAAUCUUCCACAAUGGGCGAAAGCCUGAUGGAGCGACGCCGCGUGCAGGAUGAAGGCCCUCGGGUUGUAAACUGCUUUUAUAAGUGAAGAAUAUGACGGUAACUUAUGAAUAAGCACCGGCUAACUACGUGCCAGCAGCCGCGGUCAUACGUAGGGUGCAAGCAUUAUCCGGAGUGACUGGGCGUAAAGAGUUGCGUAGGUGGUUUGUUAAGUGAAUAGUGAAAUCUGGCGGCUCAACCGUACAGGCUAUUAUUCAAACUGGCAAACUCGAGAAUGGUAGAGGUAACUGGAAUUUCUUGUGUAGGAGUGAAAUCCGUAGAUAUAAGAAGGAACACCAAUGGCGUAGGCAGGUUA